AAGCGGCAACAGCUCAAAUUUGAAAUCUGGCCCUCGGGUCCGAGUUGUAAUUUGUAGAGGAUGCUUUUGGCGAGGUGCCUUCCGAGUUCCCUGGAACGGGACGCCAUAGAGGGUGAGAGCCCCGUCUGGUCGGACACCGAGCCUCUGUAAAGCUCCUUCGACGAGUCGAGUAGUUUGGGAAUGCUGCUCAAAAUGGGAGGUAUAUGUCUUCUAAAGCUAAAUAUUGGCCAGAGACCGAUAGCGCACAAGUAGAGUGAUCGAAAGAUGAAAAGCACUUUGAAAAGAGGGUUAAAAAGUACGUGAAAUUGUUGAAAGGGAAGCGCCUAUGACCAGACUUGAGCCCGGUGAAUCAUCCAGCGUUCUCGCUGGUGCACUUUGCCGGGCCCAGGCCAGCAUCAGUUUGGCGCGGGGGAUAAAGGUGACGGGAAUGUGGCUCCCUCGGGAGUGUUAUAGCCCGCUACGUAAUACCCUGCGCCGGACUGAGGUACGCGCAUUGCAAGGAUGCUGGCUAAUGGUCAUCAGC
rnacentral:rRNA from 1 species